GCCCAUCAGCUAGCCCCACCAACCAAACUCAACAAACAAAUAUAAAUAAACCCAAACACACUAGAAUUCAACAAAACAAAGCAUUUUUCCCCCUUAGUAUGGGAGACAGAAAAGGAUCACAAGGGCGCAAUAGAAAAAGUACCGUAAGGGAAAGCUGAAAGAGAGAUGAAACAGACCAGUAAAGCCACAAAAAGCAGAGAUUACCCCUCGUACCUUUU
rnacentral:rRNA from 1 species